rnacentral:snoRNA from 1 species
AGCCUCUGGUGCCCUUUCCCAUGCAAUCUGAACACUGGUCUGGAUGGUCAUAAAAGGAGGAAAAGGAACUCUGAAGCUGACCCCAUAGUGCUUUGUAGAAUGUUGGUUAACUUCAAACAGGU